rnacentral:rRNA from 1 species
UACGGAGGGUGCAAGCGUUAUCCGGAUUCACUGGGUUUAAAGGGUGCGUAGGCGGAUAUGCAAGUCCGUGGUGAAAUCUCUGGGCUUAACCCGGAAACUGCCAUGGAUACUAUGUGUCUUGAAUGUUGUUGAGGUGAGCGGAAUAUGUCAUGUAGCGGUGAAAUGCUUAGAUAUGACAUAGAACACCAAUUGCGAAGGCAGCUCACUAAGCAAAUAUUGACGCUGAGGCACGAAAGCGUGGGGAUCAAACAGG